UGGGGCGUGGUCUAAAGGUAUGAUUCCCGGUUUUGGUCCGGGCGAUUCAGGUUCGAGUCCUGACACCCCAG
rnacentral:tRNA from 1 species